ACUACAACAAAAUGUUCCAGAAAGAAAAUAGAUUCUACAUACUGUUAUUAAUUAUGGCCACAUUAAUUUCAGGUGGAGAAUGUGCAGAAACAAUCACCCAGCCUUCUGAUUUAAUUGCAAUAGAAGGGGACAUGGUUACAAUUCACUGUAAUCAUUCUAUAUCAGCUUAUUACAAUAUCCAGUGGUACAAUCAGACUGUUAAUGGUACCCCAAAGCUUAUACUGCUUACCUCUAAGAACCUUGAAAUCUCUGGACGAUUUACUGUUACUGCUAACAAAGAAAACAAGUCCACAAACCUUUCAGUUAGUCAUGUGGAUGUUAAAGAUUCUGGUACCAUCUAUUACUGUGCAGUGAGUGACACAGUGUGACAACAUAAUGUUACAGCAGCAUUAUAUCCCACUUGGUAUAAAAUACCUCAUUCUCAGUAAUAAUAGUAUGUUGUCGUAUUUUGCAUCAAAACCAUAUAAAGAUAUGCUUCUGUAAUGGAUAUUAUUUGAUCCGAACAGAAAUAGUACCGUUUCUAUCCCUGUGUGAAUAAUGCCCUCACUAACUAGCUCAUUUUAUUCAUUUUUCAAAGCCAUAUGUUAUUAUCUAAUCUGAUUAUUUUAGCUAUCAUUUUUACAUUGUUUUUAUUGUAUUUGUCCCAUGUUGGCC